GUCCAUAGUUGCACUACCCUAGAAGUGCUGCAGCUCAUGUGAUCUGAGACACUAAGCAGAGACAGCCUGGUUAGUACUGGGAUGAGGGACACAUGUUUUAAGUGGAUCUGCUAAUAGUGAAUUCUGGCAUCAUUCACU
ensembl:rRNA predicted gene, 25923